rnacentral:rRNA from 1 species
UACGGGGGGGGCAAGCGUUGUUCGGAAUUACUGGGCGUAAAGGGCUCGUAGGCGGCCAACUAAGUCGGACGUGAAAUCCCACGGCUCAACCGUGGAACUGCUCGGUAUACUGCUUUUCUUGAGCCACUUAGGGGCUGUCGGAACAAAUGGUGGAGCGGUGAAAUGCGUAGAUAUCAGUUGGAACGCCAAUGGUGAAAACAGCUUGCUGGGGGUUUGCUGACGCUGAGACACGAAAGCCAGGGGAGCGAACGGG